CAAAAGAAGAAGAAUCAGACUACUUCAGUAUAUCGUAUCAUCAAAGGUCCUCUCUCAGAAGCUAAGCAACAAGUCUCAUGAUAUUACACAGGAAGUCCAGUUCCACCAGAAGGCUUGCUUUGUACACAUGACGCUUACAGCCAGACCUUCCUGUCCAGAUGAAGAGGCCAUCCAAAUCCCCACAACAGAAAACAAUCGUGAAGACAGCAGCUGCAAAUCAUUUCCAACCAGUCAUAAGGAUGACUUGGUGCUUUCAUUACAAGUAUCAUGCAAAAGUUAAGAACUAAAUAAAGAACCAUCAUGAAAAUGUGAA